UUACUUAAUUUGCAUCUGCACGUAGAUAGCAUAUUCCAUAGAACAGGUGUACUGCAUUUGCAUUAUCUAGAAAACUCAGGAUCCUUUCACCACCUGUGCUAAUAUUACUAUGAAAUUUUAUUAAAAACUCAACUUCGACCGAAAAAGAACAAGGACUGAAAACUAUGCUCCCGACUAGUAUCGAAUGAAUUUUGGCCACAAACAUGUAUAAAGAACAGCGG